rnacentral:rRNA from 1 species
CUUUUUAAUUGGAAGCUGGAAUGAAGGGUGGAGACUAAGGAGAAGGUUUUAUUUUGUCAAUUUGAAUUUAAAUUAAAAGUAAAAGUGCUUUUAUUAUUUCUUGGGACGAGAAGACCCUAGAAGCUUUAAAUUAGAUUAAUUUUGAUUGGGGCAAUGGUUGAAGAACAUUAUUUUUAAUUGGUUUUGUUAUUCUAUAUAUUGAAGUUACUCUAGGGAUAACAGCGUUAUCUAGUUAGCAAGUUCUUAUUAAUAAUUAGGUUUGCGACCUCGAUGUUGAAUUAAAUUGAAUUUUUGGGGAAGGGGCUAAAGUUAUUAAGUCUGUUCGACUUUUAAUGGUUUACGUGAUCUGAGUUCAGACCGGA